GAUGAACGCUGGCGGCGUGCCUAAUACAUGCAAGUCGAGCGAACGGACGAGAAGCUUGCUUCUCUGAUGUUAGCGGCGGACGGGUGAGUAACACGUGGAUAACCUACCUAUAAGACUGGGAUAACUUCGGGAAACCGGAGCUAAUACCGGAUAAUAUUUUGAACCGCAUGGUUCAAAAGUGAAAGACGGUCUUGCUGUCACUUAUAGAUGGAUCCGCGCUGCAUUAGCUAGUUGGUAAGGUAACGGCUUACCAAGGCAACGAUGCAUAGCCGACCUGAGAGGGUGACCAGCCACACUGGAACUGAGACACGGUCCAGACUCCUACGGGAGGCAGCAGUAGGGAAUCUUCCGCAAUGGGCGAAAGCCUGACGGAGCAACGCCGCGUGAGUGAUGAAGGUCUUCGGAUCGUAAAACUCUGUUAUUAGGGAAGAACAGAUGUGUAAGUAACUGUGCACAUCUUGACGGUACCUAAUCAGAAAGCCACGGCUAACUACGUG
rnacentral:rRNA from 1 species